UUUUGACAAUCUUGAAUAAUUUUUAUUUCUCAGUUGUUGGGGAGAUAAAGUUAAGCAAUCCACUGUCCUCUCUCAGACAGGUAUACAAAGACAUUCACGGAGAUGCUACUUAGGUACAAAUGUAUUCAUUUCAGUGUUAGUUACAUCAGUGGGAACACUGAAAAUGAAAAGAAUGCCCCCAAAUAUCAGAAUGGUAGAAUUACAUGCAGCUAUUAAAAUUAUAUUUUCAAAGAAUGGUCAUUAAGAGGUUAAUACAUGUAUUUACAUUAUGUAGAUUGUGUGAUUCCAAUUCCCUAAAACAUUUGUUAUUUAAAAUUUUACUCUAAUUGCCAAUACAUAAAAAAUGAGAGGAGAUAGAUCAAAAUAAUGUCAAGAUUUGGCUCUUUUAUGUAUGCAUUUUGCAUUUUUUUCUCACAGUUUUUCAAAUGAUCUAAAAUCACAUACUACUUUGUAAUCAUAAAAAUUUAACAUUAUGUAUAAAAUAAAUAAGUAUGCUGAAUUAGGUCCUCUUAAUUCUCAAAUUUAUUUUUAUAUGAAAACUGAUCAGUGAAAGGGAAAUCUUACUAUAUUGAGAGCAAAUUUUCAAUAAUAUUUUUGACAUUUCUUUCAAGUCUUAUCCUGAAUACUAUUUUCAUGGUGAAUGGAGGAAAAGAAGUAAAUCUCUAGUGUUCCUUGGUUCUUCUCUCAACUUACCUGUUUUGUUUUGUUUUGUUUUGUUUUGUUUUUUCUUGGAAGACAGAAGCAAAACCUCUGUGCUUUGUGGGCAGAGGGGAGGUGCACAUGCGCAUGCAUGCACCUGCGUGUGUAUUUAACUUCUAUUGCCUUUGGAUCUUCUCUUAUGGCCACUCCAAUUGCUCUGGAGUCAAGGUGACUUUGGCUAUGAUUCCCAUGAGUUAGAGGGACAUGGUCAAAGGACGUUUUUCUAAGGCUUUAAAUCUCAAGAACCCAUAAGCAAGGAGGAAAUCCACAAAUCCCACUUCUACAGAAUAAGAACACGAUAAAAUGCACCCACUCUCCAAGGGAUUUUUGAAUGAAGGGAUUUUACUAGACAUUAAUUUUCUCUUUCUUUAUAUUUGUUAUAGGAACUACAUACUUACUUAAAAAUCGAUGUGGACAAACCCUAUACUUUGAAAUUGUGUUGAAACCCAAGCCAAUUGCCAUUGUAUUUUUCUGCUUCCAUUUUGUCUCCCUAUCUCCCUUUUCCUCUCUUUCUCUGUUCCUUCCUUUUCUCUUGUCUUUCUUUUAGAGUCAGUGCCAGACAGCUUUGCUUCAGUUCCUGCUUUUGUCUCCCACCACUCCCUUCUUCUCCGGGCUGCUUUCCCACGUUUCACAGUGAAUUUCAAUGUGCGGGGGUGGGCGAUAAACAGGGAGGGCCACUAAAAACCACCCUUCUAGAAGCUUAUGUGUUUCAGAGCCUGUGAAAUCCUCCCUGGCCUCGGAGAUUUUAAAUUGUUUCAAUCUAUAUUUUCUUUGUCUUUUAUGCUUCUAAAGCUUCACAUCCAAUAGCCACAUUUGUAUCCAAAGCAUGGAUUUUUAAAAGUUUGACAAAGCUGAUCCCGUGGAUUCAAUUUCCAUAAAUCCCUUAAAGUGUCUGACCAACUUUUCUCAUUUUGCAAAAACGUCUAACAAAAUCACAGGGGAAAACAAUUGUUCUUGACAUCACAACAGUUUAAUAUGUUAACUUAUUCAUUAAAUUGUGCUUCACAUCAAUGGAGAUCCUCAGUUCUACAAACUAUCAUUUUUUAAAUAGCAAUAAGGGUUGAUAAUGUCACAAUACAAUCUCCUAGUACCCGAGUUCAUACAUAUUAUUACACAGAAACGAAAGGAAAUAUCUCUUAGGUGAAAUAAUUUACUAUCUAUUGAAUAACUAACUAUCUUUACAUCUAAAAUGGGGCACCAGAUAAAAGUCUAGACUUUUCUUUCCAACAUUUUCAUCUUUGAUACAUUAAAUGAAAAAUAAUGCAAAACAAAACCCAGAAAGUACUUCCAGGGGACCAAAAAAAAAAAAAAAAGGAAAGGAUAGAAAAGGAAAGAAAAAACAGCCACGUGAUCAAAAACAAAAGAAAUGACAGGUUGGUGGAAGGCAAAUAUGGCAAUAACUAAAUCACACAAACUCUGCUUCCUUAGAACAUGGUUUUUCCCUGGCAAGAACUGAGGUUUUUCAGCACUGACAUCUGGCCCUUUGAUGAGUUCCCACCAGUGCAGCAGAACAUGGACCGUGCAGAGGCUCCACUUCAUGUGUCAAAGGAUGACAGUCGCAGUCUUUUUUAUAGAUAGCUUAGAACACAGCCUUAAGAAACAACUGUUCUUUGGUGCUCUCAGAUCGGGAGUUGGGUUACCUUGAGUCCUUGUGUGCAAGUUCAGGGGCUUUUGUCUUGCAGAUGUUGCUGGUGUUCAUGGCAAGGCCAGUCCUCUGGAGAUCUCAGCACUUCUGCAAGGUAGUUUGAUUCGGCCAAUGUGUGGUGUGGAUGGGUCCAUGUGUGUUCCAUCCAUGAGGCUACAAAAUGCACAGGUCUCAGAACCUACCCACUUGCCCAGAAGGGCUCAUUCAAAGUUGUAGGAGAACUAAUUCGUUCAGAUGUGUCCAGGUGAAAUGUGGUGAGAGGAUGGAAGGAUUACUUUUGGUAGAGAAUGGAGGAGGGGGAUGAAGGAGGUGACUCGAGAAGGAAGCCCUGCAUGCUCCCCAGAGGUGACACAGUCAGGUGCAGUCGUCAGCCUCAGCCAGCCCUGAGGCCCAGCCAGGAGAUGUUCAGUGGGAGUUCUGAUGUUCAGUGGAGGCGCACUAACCAUGGAAAUAGAAAGCCUUGGAGACAGGCUUUCUGUGAUCUGAUCGGAUCAGGGUAUUCUUUGCCUCAGUCCACUCCAGCUUUCCCUCUGACCCGACCCCUCCCACGCAUUCAGCCUUUAUUUCAGUCCCUAGAAUGCUGUCAGUGCUCUGGUCCUGUUUCAUGAGCCUCAUGCUCUUGUCAGCUAUUUCAAAUGGUCCAAAGACUUAUAGUCCAC
rnacentral:lncRNA from 1 species